CCGGCUCUCGCCCGGUGGCGUUUCUCGCUGGGGCCUCCAAAUGUCGUACCUGAGCGAGUUAGAGAAAACACCACACUUUGAGACAAAUUAAAAGUCCAUUUAUUU
rnacentral:pre_miRNA from 8 species